rnacentral:misc_RNA from 1 species
AACGCACCUUGCGCCCUUUGGCCAUUCCGAAGGGCAUGCCUGUUUGAGUAUCAUGAACACCUCAACUCUCAUGGCCUGCCAUGACGAGCUUGGACUUUGGGGGUCUUGCCGGCGUACCGUCGGCUCCUCUCAAAUGAAUCAGCUUGCCAGUGUUUGGUGGCAUCACGGGUGUGAUAACUAUCUACGCUUGUGGUUUCCGCCAGGCAACCUCCAGUGAUGGAGGUUCGCUGGAGCUCACAGAUGUCUCUCCUCAGCGAGGACGGCCUUUUGAACGUUUGAUCUCAAAUCAGGUAGGACUACCCGCUGAACUUAA